AGUGAACGCUGGCGGUAGGCCUAACACAUGCAAGUCGAACGGCAGCACAGUAAGAGCUUGCUCUUACGGGUGGCGAGUGGCGGACGGGUGAGGAAUACAUCGGAAUCUACUUUUUCGUGGGGGAUAACGUAGGGAAACUUACGCUAAUACCGCAUACGACCUACGGGUGAAAGCAGGGGAUCUUCGGACCUUGCGCGAUUGAAUGAGCCGAUGUCGGAUUAGCUAGUUGGCGGGGUAAAGGCCCACCAAGGCGACGAUCCGUAGCUGGUCUGAGAGGAUGGACAGCGACACUGGAAGUGAGACACGGUCCAGACUCCUGCGGGGGGCAGCAGUGGGGAAUAUUGGACAAUGGGCGAAAGCCUGAUCCAGCCAUACCGCGUGGGUGAAGAAGGACUUCGGGUGGGAAAGCCCUUUUGUUGGGAAAGAAAAGCAGCAGGUUAAUACCCCGCUGUUAUGACGGUACCCAAAGAAUAAGCACCGGCUAACUUCGUG
rnacentral:rRNA from 1 species